rnacentral:lncRNA from 9 species
CAGGACAGAGGAAAGAAUGAGGUCCAGUAGGAAAAAAAGCAUUCUUGGCAUGAAAACUCCCCCCUACUUGCUUGAAAAUGGUCCAUAGCAGUAGAAGCUUUGCAGACAAGACUUGUUUAGAACUUACCGAAGUUUCCCAAAGCAAAACCACAGACCAGUUCCUAAUUCAGAGGCCAGAUCCGCGCGCAACCUCCCUCCUUCAGCUUCUGAUUAUGCUAGUAGCACUUUAUUAAUCAUGUAUGAAUUUCUGCUCGUGUACCCUGAAGCGAUCACACACGAUCCAAUCCCCUAUCAAAAAAGGAAGCCUUACCUGAUGGCAGAAACAGCGGCUGCAGGAGCAGCAGUAGAAAGAGCAGCAGCAGCAGCAAGAUGCAACAAGCCAGGCUUUGCAAGGAAGCGUUCCCUGCGUAAGGCUUGUAAAGAAUCAAAGCUCUCCGAACACUCGUUAAAAGAGCUUAGUAGAGGAAGAAGAUUGGGCGCGGAGAAAGUGAGGGCACCAGAGUUAGCGCUGGAGCGUUGGCGUUUAAACGCUUAAGGACUGUUCAAAAUCAAAGAACUAUCGGCAAAAAGUUCUGGGAGGCAAAACGCUUGGAUUCUAGUCCUCACUCCCGUAAAUAGCUUCCUUUAUUUUUGUGGAACCAGAAAAUAAAGUCCACUUUCACCUGAAUGUUAUCACAUUCUCUAAAUCUUGUCUGAACAAGAAUCAGCUGCUAAUUAAUGACAACCUUAUUCGAGCGAUUUUUACGAACAGGUAAAUACCUGUUUCAGCGCUGGUAGAACUUGGUCCAGAUUCCAUGAGGUACUAAAAAGUGUUCAGACUAUAUAAAUGAAUCUAAUCUUGGAGUAUUUAGGUACUGUAGCAAUUUUGAAAUUAACAUUAAUUUCUCCAACUGGGGAGUUUUUUUAGUGAUAAAUUACAACUUUAUUGAAUAUGAUAAUGAUCAGAAAACUUACAAUGAAAAGGAACACUAUUGAAAACAACGCUACUUCUUCAAAAAUCCCAAAAAUACAUCUGCUUUAUCCGUGAUGAUCUUUCUUUACACUUCUGUUGGUUCACAACCAUGGGAAUUCCGCAGGGGUGAAAUUGGAAAACUGGCCCCAGGACGGAGGGCAAAGAAAGACUGGAGGAAGGGGUAGGGCAUUCCAGAUUGGUAUGUGCUGUUUUAAUAAACAAAGGAACAUACAAAAGUCGUUUGCCUUAGGCAACUGAAAAGUAAAUUUCCGCACUCGCCAGCUGGAAUCCCAAAAGUCCAUAGGGAGGCCUUAACAGCUUUCCAUCCUUACACAGUCUAGAAGGUCUCAACAACACAUACCUCUCUCAUUGCUGCAUCCUGGCUUAUAGUGGCAGAAAAAGUGUGCCCCGUGUACAACCCGAGGAGCGGGGGGAAGGCCCAGGGGUAACCCACAGUCACGACCUCUUGAUGACCUGCUCCAACAAUUUCACUAUGGAGGUGUAACAAUUGAAUGGAAAUGUGUUUAAACAAGUUUCCAGGAAUCCUUUUCUCUCUAAGAAUUUAAGUUACUUUACACAUCAAGAACGCAGCGAUGUUGGAGAUAAUCAUUUGAUAUAAGUAUGUCAAAAUCUCAAGCGUACAGAAUGUCUAGGAGGCUUUAAAAUAUGCAUAACUACAAAUAUAGGAUUGGUAGCUAAAACAACUGCACAAAUAAGAAUGUAUUUUCAAUGUCACUAUUAAAAAAUAAGAAUAAACUUAAUAUGUCUUUCCGAAAACAUCUUGUCCCAUUGAGGUAAUGCAAAUGGGUUGAUGCAUUCAGUGUAGCCAAGCUUUGUGUGUCGUGACACUGAAAUAGCUCAGGGAGAUUUUACAAACGAAAUAAUUUUGUUACCAGUCCAUCAUGUGAAGGAGAUGUGGAAAAGCAUAAUAUUCACAGAACUGUAUGUGUGUCACUGUAAAAAGAUGAAUGCUAACUUUAUUGUAACUCACUCAUGUAGCCAAUAAAAUUUUAUUCUCUG